GAUGAACGCUGGCGGCGUGCCUAAUACAUGCAAGUCGAGCGAACGGACGAGAAGCUUGCUUCUCUGAUGUUAGCGGCGGACGGGUGAGUAACACGUGGAUAACCUACCUAUAAGACUGGGAUAACUUCGGGAAACCGGCGCUAAUACCGGAUAAUAUUUUGAACCGCAUUGUUCAAAAGUGAAAGACGGUCUUGCCAUUACUUAUAGAUGGAUCCGCGCUGCAUUAGCUAGUUGGUAAGGUAACGGCUAAACAAGGCAACGAUACAUAGCCGACAUGAGAGGGUGAGCGGCCAAACUGGGACUGAGACACGGGCCAGACCACUACGGGAGGAAGAAGUAGGGAAGUUUCGGAAAUGGACGGAAGUCUGACAGAGCAACGCGGCGGGAGUGAAGAAGGUUUUCGGAUCGUAAAGAUCUGUUGGAAGAGAAGAACGAGGGUGAGAGUGGAAAGUUCACACUGUGACGGUAUCUUACCAGAAAGGGACGGCUAACUACGUG
rnacentral:rRNA from 1 species